GACCACGCCUACUUGUCCCACUUCUAAUUUGGACCGGGUGAAACGUACUUUAGUUCCUAGUUCCCGGCUGUUAGCCAUCAGGCUCGUUCGGUGAAAUAAAAUUUGACAUUUAAAAACAGUUUUUUUAAAGUUAACAACGCGUACAAAAUUUGGAUUUAGAACCAUGGCAGCAAACACGGCCACUUCUCUGGUGCUGUCCAGCCUGCUGUCGGUGUUGGUGUUUGCAGGCAUGCAGAUGUUCAGUAAACAGCUGGCCUCCUCAGAGUGGUUUACCAUCCUGGGAGGCUUCCUGGGCUCCAUACUCUUCAUCUGCUCCCUCACUGCGUUUAAUAACCUGGAAAAUGUGUUUUUUGGGAAGGGAUUCCAAGCCAAGAUUUUCCCAGAAAUUCUGCUGUGCCUGUGCUUGUCCUUGUUUGCAUCUGGUCUUGUCCACCGAGUGUGUGUCACCACCUGCCUCAUCUUCUCCCUCUUCGCCCUCUACUACAUCAACAAGAUAUCGGCCGCCCUCUACCAAGCAGCUGCGCCUUCCGCAGCACCGGCCAAGGUGGCCACCAAGGGGAAGAGGAAGAACUAACGGAUGGAAAAACACACACCACACAAUACACACGAGACAAAAGCUUUCAUUGGCUGAUAGCCAGGUGUGAGCUGGAGCCUAUCCCAGCUGACUUGUGGGGAGGGAAGGUGGAUUACUACAGCAUUGGCCAGUCGCCUGUGGAGCUAUGUGAACCACUACAUCACCCAGGCCGAAAAACAAGGAGGAGUUGGGUGUGGAAGUCUGGAAGAACCCCAUCAAAUACC